rnacentral:tRNA from 1 species
GGGCUUGCGGCAACUACGGACUCUUAAUCCGUAGGUCGAGUGUUCGAGUCACUCAGGGCCCA